rnacentral:lncRNA from 1 species
GGGUUGGAGCGUUGCCGGAAUAGUGGCGGCUUCGCGUUUGAAGUUGAGUCGAGGUGGAGAAAGAAGUAUGAACGGGGCUGAAGGAGGUUAAAACAACGAUUAAGAUGGGGCUAGUGAAGAUGGAGGUGGAGGUUGUGUUGUUAGAGAAAUAAUGGAGGUGGAGGUGGAGAUGGAGGUGGUGGUUAUGGAGGGGGCGGGCGGCAUAGAGGUGGUAGUGGUUAUGAAGGAGGCGACGACGGAGGUGGUGGCGGUGGAGAUGGGGUUGGUGAAGAUGAAGGUGGGGUUGGUGAAGAUGAAGAUGGAGAUGGGGUUGUUUAAGAAUUUAGUGGUAUUUGCUUUAGGAUUUAGUGAUAUUUCAGUUUGGUUUUUAGUUUCUAGGAUAAGGAGGUUUCUAUUGGAGUAAUACUCUAUAUAUAUAUAGAGAGAGAG